UGACCUGGAGGAGGACGCGCGGCUGAUCGAGCUCGGGGACUGCCCGACGAGCCCUGCCGCGGCCGCGGCCAAUCCCUCGGCCGGACGCUGGUCCGCUGCGGUCGGCGGAGCGCCUCGGUGCCGCUCUAUUCUGAGACGGUAGCUGUGGCGCCGGAGGAGGCAGCGCCGGGCGUCUCGCCGCCGGGCUCCGUAAAGGUCGUCGGGCCCGGGCCGGCCCGUCCCCCUUUGGCCUUUCCACCAGCAAAAUCCCAUUUGCAGUGUUGCACACCCUCUGCCGCUUUCGGAGGAGCAGGGUGGAGAGGAGUCCCUUAGUAAGGUGUAGAGCGUACGGCCUUUCGGAUUGUUGAGGUCUGAGAACGCCUAAGAGGCGCCGAUUUGGGCUGAACGUUUGAGGCGUAUGCUAUUCCUGAGGUGAUGGUUUGUGGACUCUGCAGCAGCCUUCUCAGAGGUGCGGGGCCGGGGCCGUAGAAACCGUAGAAACCGCAGAACCGCUUCUCGGUUCCCGCCCUGCCCCUACCCGGGGCAGCGGAUCCCCGGGGGCAGUUCACUCCCGGAUGCGGAACGCCUUACUCUGCAAAAUGGAGACGAUGUCUAGUGCCCAGUGCCUUGGAGAAAUCAGGGCGUCGAUACCGAUGGACCACUGUGAAACAAAGACUGGCAUUUAACAAUGUUUAAAUCUUAUUUAACCCUUCGUGGUUCCGCUGAAGGUUUGGAGCAGCUGAAGGGUUUUAAAUGAAGGAUGCAGAUAACCUAAAGUUAGAAUUCCCUGGUCUUGGAAGGACCUCGGUAUCCUAAUGGCAUUGGUAUCCACCAACCCAUAUCCUUUUUCAGCAGAAAUGGCAACCCUGCACUAACCAACAUCUCCCUGGCCCUCUCUCUCUUCUUUUCUCUCUUUAUAUAAUACUUUUAGUUAUCUCUGUUUCCUAACCUAUACCUUCAGGACCACCUUCUACUCCUCAACUAUUUAUCAAAGUAUUUUCCUACACAAAGAAAGCACUUGGCCCAAGAGGAACUGUAGUGCCAGCUAUCAAAAUCAUGUUUCAACUCGGUCUUCUUUGUGAUUUAUGUGCGUAAAUGAUGACUUAUGUGAAUCAUUCCUAAAUGGUUAACUAUUGAAGCAAACCGUUCAUCAUCCAGUUCUCUGCAAUACCCUUGCCUUAUGUUCACCAGGCUGCUUCCUCUUUUCUCAAAUCCCACCACAAAUUUCACGUCUUCAAGAAGCCCUCGCUGAUAGCUACAAUGAAGACUUCUAACAGCCUUUAUUCAUCCUUGUCUCUGUCCCUUUUCCCCAUCUCUCCGGUUAACUGUUGUCAUUAUCUGACAGUGAAGUCACAAUGAAAUAAAGGACAGCAAUCUCCUAA